GUGUGUGGAUGGUGUUCAGCACCAGGGACAGGUGUGUUUUCCUGUGUGUGGAUGGUGUUCAGCACCAGGGACAGGUGUGUUUACCU
rnacentral:pre_miRNA from 1 species